rnacentral:rRNA from 1 species
UACGGAGGGGGCCAGCGUUGUUCGGAAUCAUUGGGCGUAAAGGGCGCGUAGGCGGCCGAUCAAGUCGGAGGUGAAAUCCCUCGGCUCAACUGAGGAAUUGCCUCCGAUACUGUUCGGCUUGAGUCCUGGAGAGGUAGUGGAAUUCCCAGUGUAGCGGUGAAAUGCGCAGAUAUCAGGAGGAACACCGGUGGCGAAGGCGGGUCUCUGGGCCGAUACUGACGCUGGAGGAAGCGAAAGCGUGGGGAGCGAACAGG